rnacentral:rRNA from 1 species
AGCAGCCGCGGUAAUUCCAGCUCCAAUAGCGUAUAUUAAAGUUGUUGCAAGUUAAAAAGCUCGUAGUUGAACUUCGGUAAUUUCGCCCAUUGGUCAGGCUUAACUGUCUGCACUGGUGUGACGAGUUCCUACCUUCUGAGGAAUCUCCAUGUCAUUCAGUUGGUGGUGGGGGGAAAUCAGGACUGUUUACUUUAGAAAAAAUUAGAGUAGUUUAAAGCAGGCGUCCGUCUGAAUACAUUAGCAUGGAAUAAUAAAAUAGGACGGUUUGGUUCUAUUUUGUUGGUUUCUAGGAUCACCGUAAUGAUUAAUAGGGAUAGUUGGGGGCAUUAGUAUUCAAUUGUCAGAGGUGAAAUUCUUGGAUUUAUUGAAGACUAACUACUGCGAAAGCAUUUGC